rnacentral:rRNA from 1 species
CCCUUAGAUGUUCUGGGCCGCACGCGCACUACACUGAUGAAUUCAACGAGUAUACUUUUUCAUUUGAAAAAUUCCUUGGUUGAGAUGCCUGGGUAAUCUUGUAAACGUUCAUCGUGAUGGGGCUAGAUUAUUGCAAUUAUUAAUCUUAAACGAGGAAUUCCUAGUAAACGCAAGUCAUCAGCUUGCAUUGAUUACGUCCCUGCCCUUUGUACACACCGCCCGUCGCACCUACCGAUUGAAUGGUCCGGUGAAAACCUCGGAUUCUUGCUUGAUUCCAGUAAUGGAGACUUGCGAGGAGAAGUCGUUUAAACCUUACCAUUUAGAGGAAGGUGAAGUCGUAACA